rnacentral:rRNA from 1 species
GACGAACGCUGGCGGCGUGCUUAACACAUGCAAGUCGAACGAGAAUCUACUGAAAGAGUUUUCGGACAAUGGAUGUAGAGGAAAGUGGCGGACGGGUGAGUAACGCGUGAGGAACCUGCCUUGAAGAGGGGGACAACAGUUGGAAACGACUGCUAAUACCGCAUGAUGCAUAGGGUUCGCAUGAUUCUUAUGCCAAAGAUUUAUCGCUUCAAGAUGGCCUCGCGUCUGAUUAGCUAGUUGGCGGGGUAACGGCCCACCAAGGCGACGAUCAGUAGCCGGACUGAGAGGUUGAACGGCCACAUUGGGACUGAGAUACGGCCCAGACUCCUACGGGAGGCAGCAGUGGGGAAUAUUGGGCAAUGGGCGCAAGCCUGACCCAGCAACGCCGCGUGAAGGAAGAAGGCUUUCGGGUUGUAAACUUCUUUUAAGAGGGAAGAGCAGAGGACGGUACCUCUAGAAUAAGCCACGGCUAACUACGUGCCAGCAGCCGCGGUAAUACGUAGGUGGCAAGCGUUGUCCGGAUUUACUGGGUGUAAAGGGCGUGCAGCCGGGUCUGCAAGUCAGAUGUGAAAUCCAUGGGCUCAACCCAUGAACUGCAUUUGAAACUGUAGAUCUUGAGUGUCGGAGGGGCAAUCGGAAUUCCUAGUGUAGCGGUGAAAUGCGUAGAUAUUAGGAGGAACACCAGUGGCGAAGGCGGAUUGCUGGACGAUAACUGACGGUGAGGCGCGAAAGUGUGGGGAGCAAACAGGAUUAGAUACCCCGGUAGUCCACACUGUAAACGAUGAAUACUAGGUGUGCGGGGACUGACCCCCUGCGUGCCGCAGUAAACACAAUAAGUAUUCCACCUGGGGAGUACGAUCGCAAGGUUGAAACUCAAAGGAAUUGACGGGGGCCCGCACAAGCGGUGGAUUAUGUGGUUUAAUUCGAAGCAACGCGAAGAACCUUACCAAGUCUUGACAUCCUUCUGACCGGUACUUAACCGUACCUUCUCUUCGGAGCAGGAGUGACAGGUGGUGCAUGGUUGUCGUCAGCUCGUGUCGUGAGAUGUUGGGUUAAGUCCCGCAACGAGCGCAACCCUUAUCUUUAGUAGCCAGCGGUUCGGCCGGGCACUCUAGAGAGACUGCCAGGGAUAACCUGGAGGAAGGCGGGGAUGACGUCAAAUCAUCAUGCCCCUUAUGACUUGGGCUACACACGUGCUACAAUGGCGUAAACAAAGGGAAGCGAAGCUGUGAAGCCGAGCAAAUCUCAAAAAUAACGUCUCAGUUCGGACUGUAGUCUGCAACCCGACUACACGAAGCUGGAAUCGCUAGUAAUCGCAGAUCAGAAUGCUGCGGUGAAUACGUUCCCGGGUCUUGCACA